rnacentral:rRNA from 1 species
CGGGACGGGUGAGUAAUGUCUGGGAAACUGCCUGAUGGAGGGGGAUAACUACUGGAAACGGUAGCUAAUACCGCAUAACGUCGCAAGACCAAAGAGGGGGACCUUCGGGCCUCUUGCCAUCGGAUGUGCCCAGAUGGGAUUAGCUAGUAGGUGGGGUAACGGCUCACCUAGGCGACGAUCCCUAGCUGGCCUGAGAGGAUGACCAGCCACACUGGAACUGAGACACGGUCCAG